rnacentral:rRNA from 1 species
AUGAACGCUGGCGGCACGGAUAAGUCAUGCAAGUCGAACGGUGCAAGGUAGCAAUACUUUGCAUAGUGGCGAACGAGUUAGUAACACCUUGGUACGUACUCCGAAGUCGGGCAUAACUCGUCGAAAGACGAAUUAAUUCCCGAUGGUCUUUUACGAGUAAAGCAGCAAUGCGCUUCGGAAGCGGCCUAGGUCCUAUCAGCUUGUUGGCGGGGUAAUGGCCCACCAAGGCUAUGACGGGUAGGGGGUGUGAGAGCACGACCCUCAACGAUGGAACUGAGAAACGGUCCAUACACCUACGGGUGGCAGCAGACGAGAAUAUUCGACAAUGCACGAAAGUGUGAUCGAGCGAUGCCGCGUGCGGGAAGAAGGGCUUCGGCCUGUAAACCGCUUUUGCCAUGGAAAAAUUUUGAUUGUACAUGGAGAAUAAGGGGUUGCUAACCUCGU